UCCUCACCAGUCACCACCACCCAUCACUGCAACUUCCAAGUUCCAUCUUUGGGCUACCUUCUCACUUGUGGUUUCUAGUAUGGGAGAAUCUGUUAAGCUCAGGAGGGAUAGCGCCACUACGCUUAAACCAUUUUUAUUUUUUUUGGAAAUGGGUUUUUUUGGUUGUUGGUUGCGCUAUCCAUCCUGAGUUUCAUUGGUUCUUCUUGCUCUAAUGCUCUCUCUUUCCCUUUUAUUCUUUUGUGUCUCUCUGGUGCAAGCUUAUGGACAUGGUAAAUAUCAUGUCCACAAUUAAUAUGAAGGGACGCCUCAGGCUCAAUCAUGAAUGGAGCCAAGGUUCUGAACAUUAAUUUUGUUGAAGGAAGCAGCAAAUGUGCAGUUUUUCUGCAUUGUUUACAGGAAGGGUGUGGUUGGGGAUAGGGAUGUUGACCAAAUUGACUGCCGCACCACACUUCGUCCAAGUCACGGCGGCCUCAUGUGACUCAACCUUAUUUUUCUUUUCAAUUGUCUCAAAAUAAAACAAAGUCUACGCAAUAUGUGCCUCUACUCUUGGAUGUAAACUCUCUGAAAUAUAUUUUUUUUCCUUUUAAGGUUCCCCUGUUUC